GUGCGAACGUUGUUCGGAAUCACCGGGCUUAAAGGGCGCGUAGGCGGCUUGCCAAGUCAGGGGUGAAAUCUUUCGGCUUAACCGGAAAAGUGCCUUUGAUACUGGCAGGCUAGAGGGAGGUAGGGGCAUGCGGAACUUCCGGUGGAGCGGUGAAAUGCGUUGAUAUCGGAAGGAACGCCGGUGGCGAAAGCGGCGUGCUGGACCUCUUCUGACGCUGAGGCGCGAAAGCUAGGGGAGCAAACGGG
rnacentral:rRNA from 1 species